rnacentral:rRNA from 1 species
CAGUCGCCGCGGGAAUACGUAGGUGGCGAGCGUUGUCCGGAUUCAUUGGGCGUAAAGGGAGCGCAGGCGGGCAUGUAAGUCUUUCUUAAAAGUUCGGGGCUCAACCCCGUGAUGGGAAAGAAACUACAUGUCUUGAGUACAGGAGAGGAAAGCGGAAUUCCCAGUGUAGCGGUGAAAUGCGUAGAUAUUGGGAGGAACACCAGUGGCGAAGGCGGCUUUCUGGACUGCAACUGACGCUGAGGCUCGAAAGCCAGGGGAGCGAACGGGAUUAGAUACCCCCGUAGUCCCUGUCUCUUAUACA